GACGAACGCUGGCGGCGUGCUUAACACAUGCAAGUCGAACGGGCCCGCUCUCUUUUUUGGGGGUGGGUUGAGUGGCGAACGGGUGAGUAUCACGUGAGUAACCUGCCCCCUGCUCCUGGAUAACUGCUUGAAAGGGCGGCUAAUACGGGGUGUGCCGGCUGGUCCGCAUGGGCCUGGUCGGGAUAGUUUCAUCUUCGGGUGUUUCGGUGGGGGAUGGGCUCGCGGCCUAUCAGCUUGUUGGUGGGGUGAUGGCCCACCAAGGCGGUGACGGGUAGCCGGCCUGAGAGGGUGGGCGGCCACACUGGGACUGAGACACGGACCAGACUCCUGCGGGAGGCAGCAGUGGGGGGUAUUGCACAAUGGGCGGAAGCCUGAUGCAGCGACGUCGAGUGAGGGAUGGAGGCCUUCGGGUUGUGAACCUCUUUCUCCGGUGGUGAAGGCCCUGUCCGUUGCGGCGGGGUUGACGGUAGCCGGGUAUGAAGCGCCGGCUAACUACGUG
rnacentral:rRNA from 1 species